rnacentral:rRNA from 1 species
CCCUUAGAUGUUCUGGGCUGCACGCGUGCUACACUGAUUAUUUCAACAAGUGUUUUAACUGGAGAGUUUGCGUAAUCCUGAAAUGUUAUCGUGAUGGGAGUAGAGUAUUGUAUUUGUUAAUCUUUAACGAGGAAUUCCUAGUAAGUGUAGGUUUAUAAGUUGUUCUGAUUACGUCCCUGCCCUUUGUACACACCGCCCGUCGCUCCUACCGAUUGAGUGGUCCGGUGAGGCUUUGGGAUCUGAGCGGAAAGAGCGUUUCGCUGUUUCUGCUCGGAAAACUCAGUCGAACCUUAUCAUUUAGAGGAAGGAGAAGUCGUAACA